UACAGAGGGUGCGAGCGUUAAUCGGAAUUACUGGGCGUAAAGCGCACGUAGGUGGUUUUAUAAGUCGGAUGUGAAAGCCCCGGGCUUAACCUGGGAAUUGCAUCUGAUACUGUCUGACUAGAGUAUGCUAGAGGGAAGUGGAAUUCCAGGUGUAGCGGUGAAAUGCGUAGAUAUCUGGAGGAACACCAAUGGCGAAGGCAACUUCCUGGGGCAAUACUGACACUGAUGUGCGAAAGCGUGGGGAGCGAACAGG
rnacentral:rRNA from 1 species